UGCGAUGGAGGGACGGAGAAGGUUAGGUGUACCGGGCGUUGGUUGUCCCGGGGAAAGGCGGUAGGUUUGGAUCUUUGGCAAAUCCGGGAUCCUUUAAGACCGAGCACCGAGACGAGUCUUUUAGACGAAGUCACUGAUACCACGCUUCCAGGAAAAGCUCCUAAGCUUCAGCUUACGCAGACCGUACCGUAAACCGACACAGGUGGGUAGGAUGAGAAUUCUCAGGCGCUUGAGAGAACUCGGGUGCAGGAACUAGGCAACAUGGCACCGUAACUUCGGGAGAAGGUGCACCCUCUUUGGUGGCCCAUGCGGGUCAAAGCUGAGGAGGGUCGCAGAAACCAGGCCGCUGCGACUGUUUAUCAAAAACACAGCACUCUGCAAACACGAAAGUGGACGUAUAGGGUGUGACGCCUGCCCGGUGCUGGAAGGUUAAUUGAUGGGGUCAGCCGCAAGGCGAAGCUCUUGAUCGAAGCCCCAGUAAACGGCGGCCGUAACAAUAACGGUCCUAAGGUAGCGAAAUUCCUUGUCGGGUAAGUUCCGACCUGCACGAAUGGCGUAACGACAGCGGCGCUGUCUCCACCCGAGACUCAGUGAAAUUGAAAUCGCUGUGAAGAUGCAGCGUUCCCGUGGCAAGACGGAAAGACCCCCGUGAACCUUUACUAUAGCUUUACACUGAACGUUGAGUUCGUCUGUGUAGGAUAGGUGGGAGGCUAUGAAACUGUGGCGCUAGCUGCAGUGGAGCCAUCCUUGAAAUACCACCCUGUCGUGCUUGACGUUCUAACCUAGGCCCGUAAUCCGGGUCGGGGACCGUGUAUGGUGGGUAGUUUGACUGGGGCGGUCUCCUCCCAAAGAGUAACGGAGGAGCUCGAAGGUACGCUCAGCGCGGUCGGACAUCGCGCACUGUGUGCAAAGGCAUAAGCGUGCUUGACUGCAAGAUCGACGGAUCAAGCAGGUAGGAAACUAGGACUUAGUGAUCCGGUGGUUCUGUAUGGAAGGGCCAUCGCUCAACGGAUAAAAGGUACUCCGGGGAUAACAGGCUGAUACCGCCCAAGAGUUCAUAUCGACGGCGGUGUUUGGCACCUCGAUGUCGGCUCAUCACAUCCUGGGGCUGUAGUCGGUCCCAAGGGUAUGGCUGUUCGCCAUUUAAAGUGGUACGCGAGCUGGGUUCAGAACGUCGUGAGACAGUUCGGUCCCUAUCUGCCAUGGGCGUUGGAAGUUUGGGAGGGGCUGCUCCUAGUACGAGAGGACCGGAGUGGACGAACCUCUGGUGUUCCGGUUGUCACGCCAGUGGCAUUGCCGGGUAGCUAUGUUCGGAAGCGAUAACCGCUGAAAGCAUCUAAGCGGGAAGCGCGCCUCAAGAUGAGACUUCCCGGGGCACAAGCCCCCUAAAGGAACCAUAUAGACUAUGUGGUUGAUAGGUCAGGUGUGUAAGUGCAGCAAUGCAUUGAGCUAACUGAUACUAAUGAUCCGUGUGGCUUGACCG
rnacentral:rRNA from 1 species